rnacentral:rRNA from 1 species
AUGCACCCACCGCCGGUGUGGGGAACAACUAAGACGUGCCAACAUGCAACACCUGAUGAUCCUUCUUCACGUAUGAAGGGAACAAGUGCUAGCUCCCCUCUGCUUGGAUCGACCCUCCACGGUGGCGAGAUAGAUGAGGGAAGACAGUUUGCUGCACAGAGCAACCCCUCGUCCCUUCCUCCCUCCUCUCCAGCUAGCUUCCGCCUUCCUUCUCUGACGAAACCCGCUGCACCUCGUCAUGUCAAGAGUCCAGAAGCUAAGAUGCACCAUCGUUCUAGUGGUGCAAAAGGAGUGUAUUCGUCAGAGAGUUCAGAAAUUCAGACCUUGCUUUCAUCGGAGAAGAAACGAACCAGGAACUGCAGGCACCGGUUGCCGGCUCGAGUCAAGGAGAUGUGCGAAGCAAGAGAUGGCCCGACGGCGGGACGCCCGUCUCCAACGCUUGGAGGUGGCCAAUGGGGAGGCGAUGGAUUGUGCGGCAGAGGGAUCGCUAUCGGGCGGCCGGAGGUUGCGGCCGGUGGUGGGGAGUACGACGACCGUGGAGGCGGCCGGAGGCGUUGCCCAGUGGCAGAUGCCAUGCAGCGGCGGUGGAGGCGGGGUGGCCGACCAGGCGACCCUCCAGAUCGGCACGUGGUGGGCUGGUGGCCUCUUUGCAUGUUGCUAGGGACUUAUUUGUAA